rnacentral:rRNA from 1 species
UACAGAGGGUGCAAGCGUUAAUCGGAUUUACUGGGCGUAAAGGGCGCGUAGGUUGUUGCAUAAGUUGGUUGUGAAAGCCCGGGGCUCAACUCCGGAAUUGCCUUUAAAACUGCAUCGCUAGAAUUGUGGAGAGGUAAGUGGAAUUCCGAGUGUAGAGGUGAAAUUCGUAGAUAUUCGGAAGAACACCAGUGGCGAAGGCGACUUACUGGACACAUAUUGACGCUGAGGUGCGAAAGCGUGGGGAGCAAACAGG